rnacentral:rRNA from 1 species
UACGAAGGGGGCUAGCGUUGCUCGGAAUCACUGGGCGUAAAGCGCACGUAGGCGGCUUCUUAAGUCAGGGGUGAAAUCCUGGAGCUCAACUCCAGAACUGCCUUUGAUACUGAGGAGCUAGAGUCCGGAAGAGGAGAGUGGAAUUCCUGGUGUAGCGGUGAAAUGCGCAGAUAUCAGGAAGAACACCCGUGGCGAAGGCGGCUCUCUGGGACGGUACUGACGCUGAGACGCGAAAGCGUGGGGAGCGAACAGG